UACGAAGGGGGCUAGCGUUGUUCGGAAUUACUGGGCGUAAAGCGCACGUAGGCGGAUAUUUAAGUCAGGGGUGAAAUCCCAGAGCUCAACUCUGGAACUGCCUUUGAUACUGGGUAUCUCGAGUAUGGAAGAGGUGAGUGGAAUUCCGAGUGUAGAGGUGAAAUUCGUAGAUAUUCGGAGGAACACCAGUGGCGAAGGCGGCUCACUGGUCCAUUACUGACGCUGGAGGUGCGAAAGCGUGGGGAGCAAACAGG
rnacentral:rRNA from 1 species